CUUAGUUUUCACCUAGAAGGCCAGAACUAGGGGUGGUAUUUUAAUUCUUGAAUGUGUAGUGAGUUUCUGUCUGAGCUGGGACAAGAAGCCAGAUCCUAGCCACACUAGUGCCCUUUUUCCUGAACCGUGCUGCUUCUUUGUGUGCAGUCUAGGAGAUAAUAAAAAGCACUUGAAGGGCAGCUAAGUGGCUCAAUAGAUCAAGAACCUGACCAGGAGAUGGGAGGUUCUGGAUUCAAAUCUGACCUCAGACACUUACUAGCUGAGUGAUCCUGGGCAAGUCACUUAACUCCCAUUGCCUAGCCCUUACCAUUCUUCUGCCUUGGAAGCAAUACUUAGUAUUUAUUCUAAGACAGAAGAUGAGGGGUCUUAAAAAUUAAAUUAAGUUAAAUUUUAAAAGGUGCUAGAAAAGGUCCAAAAGAGGAACCUCUAUCACUUUUAAGCAACCAGAGAAAGCAUGUAUGGUUUUAGCAUAAAGCAAGGAGAGGGAUAACUUGCCUAGAACUGAAGAAAUGUGAGAUAUUAGCCUGAAAGAUUUGUAGGGACUGGAUCUGUAAGUUCAUUGAUAUAGAGAGAGGAGAAGCAUAGUACUAACAGGUUAGAAGACUUGAUUGUGAUUUCAUAGCCAAAAGGGAUCAGAGAUAAGACUGGAAUUCAGGUUUUUCUGACUUCAAGUUUGGAUGGCUAUCCACUAUACCAUGAUGCAUGUCAAAGGACUUAUACACCUUGGAAAAGAGAAAGGAAGGGAAGGAGAAAGAGAAAGAAAUUUAGAAGAUGCUUAAGAUUUGGGGCCUCAUUUUCUUCUAUGGACUGCUCACUCAGAGCUCAGCCCACAGAGGAAGUCAUAAACUGGUGUCUGAAUCACAAGCAGAAAUAUCUGUUAAGGCAGAAGCAUCGGCAGGAACAGAAGCCUCAGCAAGCUUACUCUUAGAAUUGUCUACAAGUUUAAACAGUAAACUGUUAGAUACCCAUAUUUCCCACGCUCUAAAGGAUCUCUCCAUCAUGAAGGCCUUGCACUCUUUUCAAAGUGGAUUGCUUGGAAAUUUGCAUACAGAAGUGUAUCCCAAUUUUCUUGACCUGGAAAGGAUUUCUCGGAUUAAAGUUACAGCAUCCAAAAUCUCCAAUGUUAUCAUUACACGAAGUGAGAACAGAGGACAAUUAUCAGCAACAGUUCCUCUAUCUUUGGAUAUAGAAGCAAAUAUAUUGUUUCUUGGAAGUAUUUCCUUCAGAACAGAAAUGAACAGUACAUUUCAAAUUGGAACAGCAGUGGAUGAAAAUGAAGAUGGUGACCUGGUUAUUCAGAAUUGCAACAUCCAUCUUGUCAGUUCAAAAGUCAAAACCCCCAGUCGGCUGUUCAAUACUCUUCUGAAUACAUUUGCAAGAGUUCUUGGUGCUGUGGUCCCUCCACUGGUACAGGAAGAAUUCUGUUGGGCAGUCAACACAUGCUUACCAGAGUUAGAUGAUAAACUGAAAUCAGCCCUAAUUGAUACACUGCUGUGUGGACAUGAUUAUAGUUUUCAUUAAUGAAUCUUCCAGAAAGCAGACCAACUUUUUUUUUCAAAUAGAACUUCAAGGCCAGAAACAAAUUACUGUAUUUUUGUGUCAGAGGAGAUGAAAUGCUUUGCAUCUUCAAAGGUCCAUCAAGUUAUUCCUCCCCUGUUUGGAGCCUUUUUUCUUAUGUGAAAAUUGUGUCUGGGAAAUAGUCUGUUUUCCCUUUUUUCUCUUACAAUAAAUAUCCACUGUCUCAGC
ensembl:lncRNA